CAGUGAAAUGCUUGGUAAGCAACAGGUGUAGACUAACAGUGAAAUGCUUGGUAAGCAACAGGUGUAGACUAACAGUGAAAUGCUUGGUAAACAACAGGUGUAGACUAACAGUGAAAUGCUUGGUAAACAACAGGUGUAGACUAACAGGGAAAUGCUUGGUAAACAACAGGUGUAGACUAACAGUGAAAUGCUUGGUAAACAACAGGUGUAGACUAACAGGGAAAUGCUUGGUAAACAACAGGUGUAGACUAACAGUGAAAUGCUUGGUAAACAACAGGUGUAGACUAACAGUGAAAUGCUUGGUAAACAACAGGUGUAGACUAACAGUGAAAUGCUUGGUAAACAACAGGUGUAGACUAACAGUGAAAUGCUUGGUAAGCAACAGGUGUAGACUAACAGUGAAAUGCUUGGUAAACAACAGGUGUAGACUAACAGUGAAAUGCUUGGUAAACAACAGGUGUAGACUAACAGGGAAAUGCUUGGUAAACAACAGGUGUAGACUAACAGUGAAAUGCUUGGUAAGCAACAGGUGUAGACUAACAGUGAAAUGCUUGGUAAACAACAGGUGUAGACUAACAGUGAAAUGCUUGGUAAACAACAGGUGUAGACUAACAGUGAAAUGCUUGGUAAACAACAGGUGUAGACUAACAGUGAAAUGCUUGGUAAACAACAGGUGUAGACUAACAGUGAAAUGCUUGGUAAACAACAGGUGUAGACUAACAGGGAAAUGCUUGGUAAACAACAGGUGUAGACUAACAGUGAAAUGCUUGGUAAACAACAGG